CUCAAUUGUUCAAUUUAUGUUUCAUUGAAUUGAGCCAUAAGCAAUGUUCCAAAAGUGCAUUAGGAGAUCUCAAUCCUGGCAAUGUUCAUCCCUCACAACAUUCAGAUCACCACCAAAGCAGCUUGUGGGACCUUACUCUGGUUUUCUCUUCCACUUUCCUGGAUUACGCAAAGACUUCUUAAAGUUGCUGUGCUGCCUAUUUGAUAGUAAAUUGGAGAUAGGUCGAAAGGUACUUCAAUCAUAUAGGCAGAUUGGACAAUAUAACGGCCAGGAUACCUUUCAACCUACAAUGGCCCACCUGAGAGCUGGGCAGUGGCAGAAAAUCUAUCACCGGAGGCCAUCCAUUGAUAGUGGCUGAGUGACCGGAUCAGCUGCCAGAACAUUCUCGAGAGAUGAAAAAUAUUCCACGUUGACCGCAUCUUCCAACAGAAAUUAGCUUUUACUCCAUUAAAGCA